rnacentral:rRNA from 1 species
UUCGAGUGGCGGACGGUGAGUAACGCGUGGGUAACCUGCCUUACACAGGGGGAUAACACCUGGAAACAGGUGCUAAUACCGCAUAAGCGCACAGGGCCGCAUGGCCCGGUGUGAAAAACUCCGGUGGUGUAAGAUGGACCCGCGUCUGAUUAGCUUGUUGGCGGGGUAGGGGCCCACCAAGGCGACGAUCAGUAGCCGGACUGAGAGGUUGACCGGCCACAUUGGGACUGAGAUACGGCCCAGACUCCUACGGGAGGCAGCAG